CAACUCGCCUACAUGAAGUCGGAGUUGCUAGUAAUCGCGGAUCAGAAUGCCGCGGUGAAUGCGUUCCCGGGUCUUGUACACACCGCCCGUCACACCAUGGAAGUUGGGGCGCCGAAGUUGGUCGAGGAAUAGAUUACCUAAGGCGAAACCAAUGACUGGGGUGAAGUCGUAACAAGGUACC
rnacentral:rRNA from 1 species